ACUAUGCUCACUACCUCCGAGUCAUAAUAAUGCUGUAUGUGAAUCCUCCCUACACAGGGAAUUUACUUACGUUCACAAGUUGGUUCAACAUCAGACCAGUUUCUAUCAGCCAUGCAUGUUCUUGAGACGACACCCAUCAAAAUAUAACCAUUGCUACACGAGUACAUAGCUUCGGAAAGGAAGGUAGUGAUUGAAACAGUGACCAAACCGUUACUAGGCGACGUCAGCUGACCGCAGUCAACAGCUGUGAUAGGAGUGACGUACGAUUGCAGACAGGGUCAGGUGAUCCCUGCAGUGACCAAUCACCAUCAGCCUCACACACUCUCUUCGUUAUCCCGACGAGAUCAUAGCCAUUACUACAGCUGUAAGUUGCCGUGGAGGUGAAUGUUGUUGAGGGGGUGGUCUCUACCUGACCGUUGAUGGGACUGGCCCGGGGACCACAGUCAACAGCUGCAUGUCGUGGAACGGAUUGAGGACAAAACACUGAGAACAUAGCCAGAUGGGCAAGUGUACACUGAGAAUGAGCCGAAGGUGGUGAGGGAGACUGUGACUUGUCCACCAUUGUUUAAGGAGCUAGGUGUUCCACA